UACGUAGGGGGCGAGCGUUAUCCGGAUUUAUUGGGCGUAAAGCGUGUGUAGGCGGUUUGUUAAGUAUAAGAUUAAAGCCUGAGGCUCAACCUCAGUCCGUCUUAUAAACUGGCAGACUUGAGUGUGGUAGAGGCAAGUGGAAUUUCUAGUGUAGCGGUUAAAUGCGUAGAUAUUAGAAGGAACACCAGUGGCGAAGGCGGCUUGCUGGGCCAUUACUGACGCUGAGACACGAAAGCGUGGGGAGCAAAUAGG
rnacentral:rRNA from 1 species